rnacentral:misc_RNA from 1 species
UACAGAGGCCUCGAGCGUUAAUCGGAGUCACUGGGCUUAAAGGGUGCGUAGGCCGCCUCGCAAGUGCUUUGUGAAAUCCCACGGCUCAACCGUGGAAUCGCUUGGCAGACUGCGGGGCUUGAGGUCGGUAGGGGCAGCCGGAACUCUAGGUGGAGCGGUGAAAUGCGUAGAUAUCUAGAGGAACGCCAAAGGUGAAGACAGGCUGCUGGGCCGAUUCUGACGCUGAGGCACGAAAGCGUGGGUAGCGAACGGG